rnacentral:rRNA from 1 species
CACCGCGGUUAUACGAGAGGCCCAAGUUGAUAGCCUUCGGCGUAAAGAGUGGUUAAGUUAGCCCUAGCUAUACUAAAGUCGAACACACCCAAAACUGUGAUACGUUCUCGGAGAAAUGAAGCCCAACUACGAAAGUGACUUUAAAGCAUCUGACCCCACGAAAGCUGUGAAA